rnacentral:lncRNA from 1 species
CGCGACCGCAUUCAGUGUGGGAAAGCAGUUGAGGUCCCGGUUCUUGUGGUGCCGAAGCUUCUACGGAGCGGCGGCAAUAGGAGUGGCGGCGGCGGUCGUCGGCGGCGACGAGGAAAAGCUGGUGUCUUUCUCCGUCGGAGGCGGCGGAUUCCUCUCCUUCGUCUUCCCCUUCUCAAGACGUUGUUCGCGAAGAAGGCUAGAGAGAGAGAGACACUGUAGUGAAGAUCGAAUGCUAGAAAGCAUGGGUAAU